UGGGAGCGCGGCUGCUGCCGCCGCGCUCCGGCCGAGCGCGCAUGCGUGCCCCGGCGCGGCUGAGGGCAGCGGAGGCUGUCCGGAUGUCCGCGGCGGUUGCGCGGAGCCGCUCGCUGGUGGAGCUGCGAGGGGCUGCGCUGGGCCCGGGCGCCCCCGGGCACGGAGGAGGGCUGGCAGGCUGGCUGUGGAGCGCGCAGUACUGCCAGCGGGCGCCGCCAGCUUGGCCGCUGCUGCUGGGUGCGUGUGGCCAGCCGCGGCCGUCAGAGGCGAGAGCAGAGCUGGCCCAGAGGCAGUUCUGCAGAAGCACGGCGUUGUGGCCUGGGUGCUGGGUCUUGUCGCUCUGAAGAGGUGCACCCCUGAGCCCACAGAAAUACAGGAGUGUUUAAGGGUGCAGCCGAGAAGCGGUUACCGACGUCUCCAGGGUCUGAACGGCGGCAGCGCAGGGCUGAGCUGCGCCGUGCUGAUGCCCUAGGGCAAAGGUGAGCCCAGAAGUGCGGCUGCAGGCAGAAGCACAGGUUCGUGGAAGAAGGGGAGGUGUACUUGCCUGCCUGCCUGCCUUCAUAGCGGCGGAGAGCGCCGUGCUCUCCCGCUGGGUGCUCAUCUGAAAUCUCUGGAGGUACUUAAAAGGAAAUUAUUUAAGACAAUGGAGCAAAACUAUGAAUCAAAAGCAAACUCCUGCAUCUGGAAUUCAAUGGCACCAAGCAGAAGUUCAGGCCAGAUACUGAAUGGCUCUGCACAUGGAUAUAGACAAAUAAAACAUGAGUCAGCAAUGGAUCCUUGCAGUCGAGAAGGCUAUUUGCAUUCUAGCUUGCUUUAGCACACAGAGAGCCACCAAGCCAAAAGAAGUGCUUAUUCUCCACUAAUCAUCAUUUUGAGAGCCUGCAUCUGCUUUACUGCCUCAAUUUUUCAGCUUCCUGUGAAAUAAAGAUGUGCACAAACCAGAUACAGAAUCCAGAGUUAAGAUGUCUGCAUGGCUGGAUCAUAAGGUUGAGACAAUUGGGCUUGUUCAGCACACAAAAGAAAUUAGAAGGCAUAUCUACAUGCAGUCUUCCACUACCUGUGGUGAUACAAGAGAGAAGGCAUAGCCAUACACCUCCUGGAUGUGCACAGCAAAUGGACAAGUGGAUGGGCAUAAAAGCUGCAGCCUAAAGAAUGCCAACUGAAAGCAAGGAAAAUAACUCCUCCCUGUGAAAAUGAGAAAAAUUCAGCUUCAGUGUGUAUGGGGUUUGUCUGAGCUGGAGUUCACUCUCAGCAGAGCACCUUUCUGCUGGUGUCUUUUGCAGUGCUGUAACUGGGUGUUGACAACAGUGUUUCAGCUGCUGCUGAGCCAGGUACCAAGGCUGUGCUUCUCCACUGUUUUCACCCUACAGGAGUACACUGGGGGGGUGAUCAAGAUCUUGGGAGAGGACAUAGCUGGGCCAGCUGGGCUCCUCAGUUCAAGAGAGAUGUUGAGAUACUGGAACAUGUCCAGAGAUGGCCAACAAAACUGGUGAGGGGCCUGGAGCACAGCCCUGUGAGGAGAGGCUGAGGGAGCUGGGGGUGUGCAGCCUGCAGAAAAAGAGGCUCAGGGCUGACCUCGUUGCUGUCUACAACUACCUGAGGGGAGGCUGUAGCCAGGUGGGGUUGGUCUCUUCUGCCAGGCAACCAGCAACAAAACAAGGGGACACAGUCUCAAGUUGUGCCAGGGGAGGUCUAGGCUGGAUGUUAGGAGGAAGCUCUUGCCAGAGAGUGAUUGACAUUGGAAUGGGCUGCCCAGGGAGGUGGAGGAGUCGCCAUCCCUGGAAGUGUUCAAGAAAAGCCUGGAUGAGGCACUUAGUGCCAUGGUCUGGUUAACUGGCUAGGGCUGGGUGCUAGGCUGGACUGGCUGAGCUUGGAGGUCUCUUCCAACCUGCUUGAUUCUGUCAAAGUGACUAAAGGGGAUUCCAUGCUAUAUGACAUCAGCUCAGAUGUAUAAGCUAAGUGAAGGAAGGAAGUGUGGGGACAGUCGUUGAUGGUGUCUGUCCUCUAGAGCAACCACUAUGUGCAUUUGGUGACUCCUGGGAAGCAGUGCUCCGAACUUCUCUACUUUGUCUCAAGCCAGAUGAUAACAUCUUUGUUUGCUUUUGCUUUGCAUUAAAGUUGCUUCUAUCUUA